rnacentral:lncRNA from 1 species
GCCCUCGGAGCACCAAGCAUCGGAGCCCCAGCCCUCGGAGCCCCUCCUAUCGGAGCCCCCGCCCUCGGAGCCAAGACCCUCGGAGCCCAGGCCGUCAGGAGCCCUCGCCCUUGGAGCCCCUGCCCUCGGGAGCGCGGCGCGGGCUGGAGCGGCGCGCGGCGGGAUUAGGUGUCCCCGGCGCGAUUAGGCACAGGCGUUGUUCGCCGGGAGGCCGGGGCGGCUGGGGGCGAGUGUUUGGGAAAGAGGGCUUGCCAAGUUCUGAGCGUGGCCCGCGCGGCCAAGGCUGCCGUUGCCUCGCGCCUACCCCUCCGCUGCUCCGCCCCCGCCUUUGUCGCUGGCUCGUCCUGCGCCCUCUGCCUCGAUGCGACGUUCUUCCGGACUCGGUGUCAGGCCUCUUCCUUCGGAGCCACCCGUCGCCUCUCUUCUAGACAGCCCAAGUCAGCUCCACUUGAAUGUCUCUCGGGCACCUGCGACGUCCAAACCCAAACGCAUCGCCUUCCACGGCCUCUCCCCGCGCCUCCUGCCCGCAUCGUGGAGGCCAAGCGCCCCUCCAGCCACUUGGGUCCACGGGCCUUCCCUAAAGGCCUUGGCAUCUCCGUCCCUCAGCCUGGAACACUGCGUGGCUGGCUCCUGCUGACCACUGAGGUCUUGGCUCAAAUGUCCCCCAGGCCGCUGCAACCCACUGCCCAGUGUCAUCUUGUCACAGCACUUACCACAAUCUAAUUUAUCCUGUGAGUUCAUGCAGUCACAUUGUCGACUUCUGGAAAGGAAGCUUCCUGAGAGCAGGGACGGGGUCUGCUUUCCAUGACAGCCCCAUCUCGUGGCACACAGGAGACGCGCGAAACAUGGAACUCAGUCAGGCCCUCCACUCCUCAACCAGCUCCCGUGGUUCCCUCGCCUUAACACCCCUCAACCCAGCCUGUCUCACCCCUCAGUGAUCUGCCUUAUUCUGGACCUUGACAUUUCUCCCCUGAUCUACUAGCUUCCUAACUGGUUAUGCCCAGCUUAAAACCCACCGGUGGCUGCCCACUGCCACCAGUACAGAGCCCCCACUCCUCAGCGUGGCCCUCCGGGCCCCUGGCACCCAUCCCAUCCAGUUGCUUUCACUCCACCACACUCUGCAGUGCUGAAGGCACAUCGUGCACAUUUAUUAAUGACAUACCAGUGGGAGGGAAAGAAGAUAUGCAGAGGGUCUCUUAAUGCAAGGGGCCUGCACAGCCCGAGGCCUGGCUCCUCAGGGAGACUGCUGGCAUCGCGGUGCCCAUGGAGCAUGGAGAGAGAGAGGCAACGGUGGCGUGGCAAGAGGUCAGCCGUGGUAGCCAAGGCAGACUGGAAUCAAAGCUAAGCCCAGCUGCUGGCUAGCAAGGCAGCCCUGAGCCUCAGUUUCUUCAGCUGUGAAACGCUGGUGUUCACCACCUUUCUCCCUGCAUCACCCACCCACCACCCGCAGCCCCAGCAGCUACACACACUGAGGACACGGAAUUCCCUGUCCCCCUGUCCCCUGCGGAGACCUACAGUCGGCUGAGAAUGCUGGUAGGUCUCGUUCUCUCCAGAACCACUUCUGGAGAUAUGAUCGGUGUACUGCCUUCAAAGCUGAAUUCUUCUUAACAAAAUCAACAAACAGAACUUGGUGUAAACGCCGUCACUAGGGCCCUCUCCCUGUUUCACCCACUGAACAGCCCAGGCCCUGGUUACGAACUGGAGUCCUCACUGGGGGCUGUCAGCAUUCUUCCAAGUGUCAGCUCUGGGACUUCCCCUCCCGAGGCCCAGACAGGCCCCAGGCUGCCUGAGCACAUUGAACUCUGUCUCAUCUCACAGCACCCCGAAGCCUAGCCCUCACCCCUUUCUCUGCUCGGGACAUUCCGUACUGUCUGUUCAAAUGCCACAGGUGAAGCUAGCA